AUUGAACGCUGGCGGCAGGCCUAACACAUGCAAGUCGAGCGGCAGCGGAAAGUAGCUUGCUACUUUGCCGGCGAGCGGCGGACGGGUGAGUAAUGUCUGGGAAACUGCCUGAUGGAGGGGGAUAACUACUGGAAACGGUAGCUAAUACCGCAUAACGUCGCAAGACCAAAGAGGGGGACCUUCGGGCCUCUUGCCAUCAGAUGUGCCCAGAUGGGAUUAGCUAGUAGGUGGGGUAACGGCUCACCUAGGCGACGAUCCCUAGCUGGUCUGAGAGGAUGACCAGCCACACUGGAACUGAGACACGGUACAGACUCCUACGGGAGGCAGCAGUGGGGAAUAUUGCACAAUGGGCGCAAGCCUGAUGCAGCCAUGCCGCGUGUAUGAAGAAGGCCUUCGGGUUGUAAAGUACUUUCAGCGGGGAGGAAGGUGUUGAGGUUAAUAACCUCAGCAAUUGACGUUACCCGCAGAAGAAGCACCGGCUAACUCCGUGCCAGCCGCCGCAGUAAUAC
rnacentral:rRNA from 1 species